rnacentral:rRNA from 1 species
UAGUGGCGAACGGGUGAGUAACACGUGGGCAAUCUGCCCUGCACUCUGGGACAAGCCCUGGAAACGGGGUCUAAUACCGGAUAUGACUGUCCAUCGCAUGGUGGAUGGUGUAAAGCUCCGGCGGUGCAGGAUGAGCCCGCGGCCUAUCAGCUUGUUGGUGAGGUAGUGGCUCACCAAGGCGACGACGGGUAGCCGGCCUGAGAGGGCGACCGGCCACACUGGGACUGAGACACGGCCCAGACUCCUACGGGAGGCAGCAGUGGGGAAUAUUGCACAAUGGGCGAAAGCCUGAUGCAGCGACGCCGCGUGAGGGAUGACGGCCUUCGGGUUGUAAACCUCUUUCAGCAGGGAAGAAGCGAAAGUGACGGUACCUGCAGAAGAAGCGCCGGCUAACUACGUGCCAGCAGCCGCGGUAAUACGUAGGGCGCAAGCGUUGUCCGGAAUUAUUGGGCGUAAAGAGCUCGUAGGCGGCUUGUCACGUCGGUUGUGAAAGCCC